rnacentral:tRNA from 1 species
GCCUUAGUAGCUCAGUCGGUAGAGCGCAUGACUUGUAAUCAUGCGGUCGGGGGUUCAAUUCCCUCCUGAGGCU